rnacentral:rRNA from 1 species
AUUGAACGCCGGCGGCAUGCCUUACACAUGCAAGUCGAACGGCAGCACGGGAGCAAUCCUGGUGGCGAGUGGCGAACGGGUGAGUAAAGUAUCGGAACGUGCCCAGUCGUGGGGGAUAACGUAGCGAAAGUUACGCUAAUACCGCAUACGAUCUAUGGAUGAAAGCGGGGGAUCGCAAGACCUCGCGCGAUUGGAGCGGCCGAUAUCAGAUUAGGUAGUUGGUGGGGUAAAGGCUCACCAAGCCGACGAUCUGUAGCUGGUCUGAGAGGACGACCAGCCACACUGGGACAGGGACACGGCCCAGACUCCUACGGGAGGCAGCAGUGGGGAAUUUUGGACAAUGGGCGAAAGCCUGAUCCAGCCAUGCCGCGUGCAGGAUGAAGGCCUUCGGGUUGUAAACUGCUUUUGUACGGAACGAAAAGGUUUGGCCUAAUAAGCUGAGCUCAUGACGGUACCGUAAGAAUAAGCACCGGCUAACUACGUGCCAGCCGCCGCCGUAA